rnacentral:misc_RNA from 1 species
UUUGCAGCCAACCGUCGUGGGGCUGUCUUUUCACUGUUCCUCCCGAUGCGCUUUUUUUUGUGCGGCGGAGGGAACGCUCGAUGUCGGUUGCCUGUGCGGUUCUACCCUCGUGCGGAACAGAAGCGGGCUUGACGGUAGGCUUCUSCCUGCSCCGUCGGCACGGUGCUGUCGUCGGCGCGGCUGAAAUGUUGGCAUGGCGCUUGUGCGGCUGCGGGCGCAUGAUUGGCCCCGGUACCSCACGCGCGUUUUUSCCGGCUCUCACGGAUGCGGUGCSCAUUGAGGAAUCCAUGCGUCUUCGGUCGCUGGAUUGCUUCGGGAUGUCCCCUSCACGGGUCGUCGCUCCGCUUCGGGGCGCGCUCCCGUCCCGGCGAGACGGUUGCCCGGUUGUAAGAGCGAUUGCCGGAUCUCGUCGUGUGAAGGCGCUCCCGCCGAGGGCGUGCCGGAAGCGACUGUCGGCUCUGU